rnacentral:rRNA from 1 species
ACGUAGGGUCCGAGCGUUGUCCGGAAUUAUUGGGCGUAAAGGGCUCGUAGGCGGUUCGUCACGUCGGGAGUGAAAACUCGGGGCUUAACCCCGAGCCUGCUUCCGAUACGGGCAGACUAGAGGUAGGCAGGGGAGAGCGGAACUCCUGGUGUGGCGGUGGAAUGCGCAGAUAUCAGGAAGAACACCGGUGGCGAAGGCGGCUCUCUGGGCCUUACCUGACGCUGAGGAGCGAAAGCGUGGGUAGCGAACAGGA